CAUGUAUACAGGAGAAAAGAAGAAAGGCCUUUAUUGUCUUUGUACAUAAAUGAAUACAUACAACCAAAUUUGUCAUCUGCAUUUAACUUUUCUGAAUUUCA